rnacentral:rRNA from 1 species
UGGGGAAUAUUGCACAAUGGGCGCAAGCCUGAUGCAGCCAUGCCGCGUGUAUGAAGAAGGCCUUCGGGUUGUAAAGUACUUUCAGCGGGGAGGAAGGCGAUAAGGUUAAUAACCUUGUCGAUUGACGUUACCCGCAGAAGACGCACCGGCUAACUCCGUGCCAGCAGCCGCGGUAAUACGGAGGGUGCAAGCGUUAAUCGGAAUUACUGGGCGUAAAGCGCACGCAGGCGGUCUGUCAAGUCGGAUGUGAAAUCCCCGGGCUCAACCUGGGAACUGCAUUCGAAACUGGCAGGCUAGAGUCUUGUAGAGGGGGGUAGAAUUCCAGGUGUAGCGGUGAAAUGCGUAGAGAUCUGGAGGAAUACCGGUGGCGAAGGCGGCCCCCUGGACAAAGACUGACGCUCAGGUGCGAAAGCGUGGGGAGCAAACA